UUAUUAGAUGGGGCAUGGAGUCUGAAAAAACUCGAAGAGGGAUGGUGUGUUGUCUAUCAGCUUCAUCUUUUGUAAUAUUGACGAGACUGGAGUUAAAUAACAGCACUACACUU